rnacentral:ncRNA from 1 species
CAGAGUAGAGAGCUGCGCGUUAAGUGCGCUGCGGACGGAGAGUUGCCGCAGCGACGAAAAGCCUGAGCGCUUGCGGUGCAGCUCCCGCAUCUCGCUG